UUACGGUCAUAUAAAUGUUCGAACACCGGUUUUCGUACGUUCACCGAAGGUAAGCAACGUCAAGUCUGGUUAGUACCAAGAUGGAUAACCGCUUGGGAAUACCAGAUGCCGUAA